GUCCUGGCCCUAAACGAUGAAUGCUUGGUGUGGCGGGUAUCGAUCCCUGCCGUGCCGAAGCUAACGCAUUAAGCAUUCCGCCUGGGGAGUAUGGUCGCAAGGCUGAAACUCAAAGGAAUUGACGGGGGCCCGCACAAGCGGUGGAGCAUGUGGUUCAAUUCGACGCAACGCGAAGAACCUUACCCAGGCUUGAACAGCGAGUGACCAUCGAUGAAAGUCGACUUCCGCAAGGACACUCGUAGAGGUGCUGCAUGGCUGUCGU
rnacentral:rRNA from 1 species